ACUGUUUCGGUUUUGUUUCAUUCUCUUUGUUAUUUUGUUUGGUGUUCUGAGUUUAAAUAAAUAUGAUCAUGAACACUUACCACGCUGCACUUUGGUCCUCCUCUCCUUCCACCGAAGACAACCGUUACAGACUGAGAACACGCUUCUGAUUUAUUUUAAUUUCCAGUAUGUGCAACGGAUCUAUCGCGAUACAACAGCGUGACUGUAUUUCUGGCCCCCGCAGUGAUGGAAGUUCUAGAGGAGAAGCUGCUGAAGGAGCUUUCUGAGGAUGCCAUGGUGGUGGUGUGUCGCUUCCCCUUCCCUCAUUGGCCACACACCUGCUCCAAGGGGUCGGGGUUAGACCAGGUGUGGGCCUAUGAUGUCAGCACUGUCCGUAAGCCCUAUCCUUCGGCGUCUCAAUAGGUUACAGUCAUAUACAUUUCAUUCGGUUACAUAAAUACUUUUCCUUAGAGCAAAUGGCAAUAUGCUCAUUGCCCCUCUGCAUGGUAACCAAUGGUGUGCAAGAAAACUUCUUAACAAAUGUUCCAUGUCAUUUCAUUGGCCCCACAUAAUGUUUUGUACAAUGUGCAAGUUGAAUUACAAAAGACCAUGCUGGCUAUUGCUGCCCCUCUAAAGCUUCAAUAGUACCUUAUUACAUCUUAGUCACAGAAUAGAAAGGGGGUUAGCAGAAUGUAAAAUAGAAGGGAAUAAAAUACAUAUGCUUGUUUACAGUGUUUACUAUAACUUUGAUGCACAUUUACUUCGUUGGAUAUGCAGCCAGACUAAAGGAUUGCAUGCUUGAAGUCAUUUUUUUUAAUCACUUCUCUUGUGUGACAUUUAUUAUUAUUAUUAUUAUUGCUUUUCAAAUGUCUCAAGUCAAUUUGAAGCCACAAACAAGAAAAAUGGCCCUGAGAAAAGUGUUCUAUUGAAGACUGUGGUUGUGGUCAGAGUUUAUCCUGCUGAUAAUUAUUAGGCUCUAUGCACAGCUAAGACACUAGGUUCAGCUGCAGCAGAUGCAACACCAUUUUUGAUGUCCCUUUGGUAGUUGGCAUAAAUGCCGUCCUCUUCUUCUGGGGCAUCACACAUAAUACAGUUCCCCUCACUACCCUCUUGUUCUGGGACAUUAUACAUCAUGUAGUCCCCCUCACUACCCUCUUCUUCUGGGGCAUUAUACAUCAUAUAGUCCCCCUCACUACCCUCUUCUUCUGGAGCAUCACACAUAAUACAGUUCCCCUCACUACCCUCUUGUUCUGGGGCAUUAUACAUCAUGUAGUCCCCCUCACUACCCUCUUCUUCUGGAGCAUCACACAUCAUACAGUCCCCCUCACUACCCACGCUUGCUGAACAGUUGCCAGCAGCUGCCUUUGGCUCCUCUGGUCUUGCCAGUCGCACAUUUUCAUAGUCACUCUCAUAGCACCCAGCUCUACCACUGUGGCUUCCCAUUGGGUAGCCAGCCGCCAUAGACAUUGACACGUCAUCCGUGGGGAAUGGGAGUGGGGGUCUUUCCAUCACAGGACAUGGUUCACUGUUCUCAGAGACACUAGAGGAUUUCGAUUGAGGUUUGUUGAUCUGUGUUAGCUUGGGCGAAAUUUGGGAGGUGAGCUGGUCCUGCCUGGUCUGGCGACGCCACCAAUAAGCUAGGCCUCCACACACACCAAGCACGAUGAGAACAAACGAGACCGGACCCAGGAUUAUACCCCUGCUGGUGUGUGGGCAGCAGUUGUCCCCACAGGGGGUUGUCGAGGUGCAGUUCGACAUGGUUGGUACAGGAGGAUCAGGAUAGGGAGCUGCAGAGGAAGGUAGAAGCAGAAAUGUAGAGAGAUGGAAAUAGAAUACAGGUGAAUUGAAACUUCUAGGUGGAAUGUAUUCAGGUAGCCUAAAGUAGUGGUAUGUAUUCAGGUAGCCUAAAGUAGUGGUAUGUAUUCAGGUAGCCUAAAGUAGUGGUAUGUAUUCAGGUAGCCUAAAGUAGUGGUAUGUAUUCAGGUAGCCUAAAGUAGUGGUAUGUAUUCAGGUAGCCUAAAGUAGUGGUAUGUAUUCAGGUAGCCUAAAGUAGUGGUAUGUAUUCAGGUAGCCUAAAGUAGUGGUAUGUAUUCAGGUAGCCUAAAGUAGUGGUAUGUAUUCAGGUAGCCUAAAGUAGUGGUAUGUAUUCAGGUAGCCUAAAGUAGUGGUAUGUAUUCAGGUAGCCUAAAGUAGUGGUAUGUAUUCAGGUAGCCUAAAGUAGUGGUAUGUAUUCAGGUAGCCUAAAGUAGUGGUAUGUAUUCAGGUAGCCUAAAGUAGUGGUAUGUAUUCAGGUAGCCUAAAGUAGUGGUAUGUAUUCAGGUAGCCUAAAGUACUGGUUCUCAACCUUUUCUGUUCCUCCUUUAUGAACAAUUUAUGUUAGACUCAUACUACUUUUAUCACAAGGAGUAGUACUUCAAAUCCAUGUUGAAAUCAGCCAGGUAACUGACUAAAGUCUAGACGGUCAGAACUGGUCAUCACAUCCGGUGCACGUCCACUGACGGAAUAAGUAUUUUCUGUGUCAGUGCAAUAUGCAAUACAUCAAUAAUUGGAUCUACUUACCAAAUAAAACUAGCAUGUUUAGGGCUAAUGGAUUACCAGAACUUUUAUACCGACCUUCACAAAAACAUACUACUUACUAUCCUUUCUUUCAUUGUUCACUGUUACAUUACAGCGCCUAAUGAAUGCAAAUUAGCAUCAGGACAUAAAAUAGGGGUGUUUCUAGUUAUCAUCACAUAAAUAGGGAUGUUUCUUGUUAUCAGGACAUAAAUAGGGAUGUUUCUAGUUAUCAGGAUAUAAAUAGUGAUGUUUCUAGUUAUCAGAAUAUAAAAUAUGUAUGUUUCUAGUUAUCAGGAUAUAAAUAGGGAUGUUUCUAGUUAUCAGGAUAUAAAUAGGGAUGUUUCUAGUUAUCAGAAUAUAAAUAGGGAUGUUUCUAGUAAUCAGGAUUUAAAUUGGGGUGGUCCUGUAUGGCUCAGUUGGUAAAGCAUGGCGCUGGCACCGCCAGGGUUGUGGGUUUGAUUCCUGGGGCCACCCAUAUAUAAAAAUAAUGUAUGCACACAUGACUGUUAUUUGCUUUGGAUAAAAGUGUGCUAAAUGUCAUAUAUUUAUAUUUUCAGGUUAUCAGGACUUAGAUAAGGAUACAUCUACAUUUGACCAAUCACUCUUAUCCAGAGCGACUUAUAGGAGCAAUUAGGGUGGGCACAUCGGCAUGUUUUUCAUCUAGACAGCUCAGGGAUUUGAACCAGCAACCUUUCAGUUACUGGCCCCCAAAGCUUUUAACCACUAGGUUACCUGCCACUCCCUUCCAAUGAUCAGGUCUUAAAUAUAUUGAUUUCAACGCACAAACGUAAAAGCUACCGUAGAAAAGUUGAUCAUGUUAACCCACUGUAACAAUACAGUGAUAGUAUAGUACUACUACAAUAGUAACAAGAUUAUAGAACAGUUAAAUGCGUCUUACCUUGCAGUAGAUUACGUCGACAGUAAAGCGAGACGACUGGAGUUUCUAAUUGUCUUAUAUAGCUACUUCCCUUUCAACCAACCACCUCUGGAUUUGGUAUGAAGAAAAAAAAGUGUGAAAGUGUCACACACCUCCUGCAUAUAGGUUUGUCACAUGGUGUCAUGCCACUAGCUAUUAUACAGUGUAUUUAUCUUCACACACUGGCCAAUGCAGGUGGGUUGUAGUAGAAAGACAUAAGAUAUAUUAUUAUAUUAAAUAAUAGAAAAACAUGGUAUUUAUUCAUGUUUUGUGAUCAAACAGUAGAAUAUUUGAUUUGUGUGAAAUGAUGUAAACUUUAUAUACAACUGAUUGUCAUAUUGUAAUUUGGCUGAGCAAUAAUUUUAAAAAAAAUACAUAUUGUCUAGGCCGCUCUCUCUCCUCUUUUCACACUGAUCAUCAUCAUAACGAGGCACACAAUAUGUAUGGAAGACCCGUUGAGUUCCACUGGGUGGCGUCCUCACCCCUCCAAACUAUCAGAAGGGUUCCUAUUCAAUACACAUAUGCUAACGAAAAGGUGGUGUUUUUUUUAAUAAUCCGUGUAAGUGUUUUAUUUAUAAGGGACAAUAGUAGCCCAACAUCUCGGUCUCUUAUUUGGCACCAUCAUUUAUCAUCAUCUGAAGGUGGUGAUAUUUUUUUUAUUGUUUAUUUCACUUUUGUAUAUAUUAUCUACCUCACUUGCUUUGGCAAUGUUAACACAUGUUUCCCAUGCCAAUA